AGCAAAAUCAUUCGUAUCGAGACUCCCAAGGACAAAAAGGGGAAGACGAUACACAAGCCUUAAUUUUUGCUCCUCAUCAAACAGCAGUGUCAAAACAGACGCACUAAGACCCACAAAUUUACUUUGACAUAACACACCUGUGUGGAGAUUAGAGCUUACAGGGCCUUCCUCUGACUGCAGCAAAAUCACUCAUGUCAAGACUCUCAAGGACAAAAAGGGGAAGACGAUACACAAGCCGUAAUUUGUGUAAAAAC
rnacentral:lncRNA from 1 species